rnacentral:rRNA from 1 species
GUGGAUUAGAUACCCUAGUAGUCCACGCCCUAAACUAUGUCAACUAGACGUUGGGUUCUUUAAUGAACUUAGUGUCGAAGCUAACGCGUUAAGUUGACCGCCUGGGGAGUACGGCCGCAAGGUUGAAACUCAAAGGAAUUGACGGGGGCCCGCACAAGCGGUGGAGCAUGUGGUUUAAUUCGAUGCAACGCGAAGAACCUUACCAGCCCUUGACAUCCUGGGAACUUUGUAGAGAUACAUUGGUGCCUUCGGGAAUCCAGUGACAGGUGCUGCAUGGCCGUCGACAACU